rnacentral:rRNA from 1 species
UACGUAGGGUGCAAGCGUUGUCCGGAAUUAUUGGGCGUAAAGAGCUCGUAGGCGGUUUGUUGCGUCGGCUGUGAAAUCCCCAGGCUUAACCUGGGAACUGCAUUCGAGACUGCAUUGCUAGAGUAUGGGAGAGGGAAGUGGAAUUUCCGGUGUAGCGGUGAAAUGCGUAGAUAUCGGAAGGAACAUCAGUGGCGAAAGCGGCUUCCUGGUCCAGCACCGAACGUCAGGCACGAAAGCGUGGGGAGCAAACAAGG